CCCCGAGCUGCACCAAACAGCUCUCAGGUUUCUGCUGAUACUGCAGCGUCAAGAAAUGGCUCGAGUUUGCUCCUUGCUCUUAUGCAUUCAGCAGCCCUCUCGCUCCUGCCACACGCGUCCAGCUCCUGCCUCCUGCUGCUGCUGCUGCUGCCGGGACGAGCCAAGACCGACUCCGAGGAUGCGGCUGCAGGACUGCGGCUCUCUUACAUCUGCCCAGCCGCCGCUGCCCGGCGCCCGGCGCUUUUUCCAGCUGUCUUAAGGGAACAGAGCAGGAAAGCCAGCACUUAUCUAGGACUCCUUCAUUUUAUUUACUAACUCAAGCCUUUUGUAAAAGUGUCUCGCAGGCAGCCCUGUAAAGCGAUCACUGUAUUAUUAAGAGGGGCUCAAGAGGAGGAGGAGGAGGGUUGAGUUUGCCGCUGCGGUGUUUGUUUUGGUUUGGUUUUUUUGGAUGCUGCUGCAAGGCGACUUGACGCAUUCCGGCACUGGCUCCUACUCCUAACCAGCGCAUCUCACUCGGAGCAGCAGCCGCAGUGAUGGUCGAGUCGGCGAGAAAAGUGGACGGAUCAAGUUAAAGGCAAAAGGAGACGGCUGGGGAGGGGACCCCAG